rnacentral:rRNA from 1 species
CUGCGAAUGGCUCAUUAUAUAAGUUAUCGUUUAUUUGAUAGUACCUUACUACUUGGAUAACCGUGGUAAUUCUAGAGCUAAUACAUGCUAAAAAUCCCGACUCACGAAGGGAUGUAUUUAUUAGAUUAAAAACCAAUGCCCUCUGGGCUUCUUGGUGAUUCAUAAUAACUUCUCGAAUCGCAUGGCCUUGCGCCGGCGAUGGUUCAUUCAAAUUUCUUCCCUAUCAACUUUCGAUGUUUGGGUAUUGGCCAAACAUGGUCGCAACGGGUAACGGAGGGUUAGGGCUCGACCCCGGAGAAGGAGCCUGAGAAACGGCUACUACAUCCAAGGAAGGCAGCAGGCGCGCAAAUUACCCAAUCCCGAUUCGGGGAGGUAGUGACAAUAAAUACUGAUACAGGGCUCUUUUGGGUCUUGUAAUUGGAAUGAGUACAAUUUAAAUCUCUUAACGAGGAACAAUUGGAGGGCAAGUCUGGUGCCAGCAGCCGCGGUAAUUCCAGCUCCAAUAGCGUAUAUUAAAGUUGUUGUGGUUAAAAAGCUCGUAGUUGAACCUUGGGCUCGGCCGGCCGGUCCGUCUCACCACGUGUACUGGCCUGGCCGGGCCUUUCCCUCUGUGGAACCCCAUGCCCUUCACUGGGUGUGGCGGGGAAACAGGACUUUUACUUUGAAAAAAUUAGAGUGCUCCAGGCAGGCCUAUGCUCGAAUACAUUAGCAUGGAAUAAUAAAAUAGGACGUGUGGUUCUAUUUUGUUGGUUUCUAGGACCGCCGUAAUGAUUAAUAGGGACAGUCGGGGGCAUCAGUAUUCAAUUGUCAGAGGUGAAAUUCUUGGAUUUAUUGAAGACUAACUACUGCGAAAGCAUUUGCCAAGGAUGUUUUCAUUAAUCAGGAACGAAAGUUAGGGGAUCGAAGACGAUCAGAUACCGUCGUAGUCUUAACCAUAAACUAUGCCGACUAGGGAUCGGACGAUGUUAUUUUUUGACGCGUUCGGCACCUUACGAG